ACUUGUCUUGCAGGUCAGCACUGCCCCCUUGAAGGAUCCACUGUUUCUUCACGCACGUUUAAGAAUGAAGGAGAAGAGAGCGGCGCUCCGCUGUCUGACAGGGUGUAUGGAUGGGUGUCUGUGGGUGAAGUCAGCAGAGGAACAGAGCCGGAACACGAGAGUCAGCAGGAAUCAAGACCCCGUUUACAUGGCGACGGCAGAUGGGCGGUGCUUCCGGCCUGGGUGCUGGUCCGCGAUCGGUCUGUCACGUGAUUAUCCUGUUAAGUCAUAAAACGAUGCAUGGAGUGAAUCCUCUUGCUCAUCCAGUUACAGUUACUUAAAUGAUGCAGAUUGUGCUAUUCCUUCUGUUGUGUGGUAUUAAUAUUAGAAGUAGAAGUUCUGGUAGUAGCAGCAGCAAAGGGUCGAAUAUCAAUUUUAUUUUAAUUACUUUUGAGUAUCGCUGUUCCAUUUGAGACUCUUUUUAUUUAGGCUCGGUCCUAAUUUAUAAUCCCUGAUCUAACCCUAAAUCCACACUUUUAGUCUGUUUUCCAAAAUUAUUUGUGCAAAAUCAG